rnacentral:rRNA from 1 species
UACAGAGGUCUCAAGCGUUGUUCGGAUUCAUUGGGCGUAAAGGGUGCGUAGGCGGCGCGGUAAGUCGGGUGUGAAAUCUUGGAGCUUAACUCCGAAACUGCAUUCGAUACUGCCGUGCUUGAGGACUGGAGAGGAGACUGGAAUUUACGGUGUAGCGGUGAAAUGCGUAGAUAUCGUAAGGAAGACCAGUGGCGAAGGACGGGUCUCUGGACAGUUCCUGACGCUGAGCACGA